AACCCGGCGGCACCCCGAGUGCAGCGCCUCCUCCCGCCCGUUCCCACGCCUCCCGGGCGGGUGUGGCUUGUCGGGGGCGGGGCUGAGCGCGGGGGCGCCGCCCCUCCCGACCAGGUUGGCCUGCACCUUGCGGCUCCGACCGCGGUGGGCGCGCCGGAAGCCGCAGCCGGGAGAGGCCGGCGACGUCGCACGGGAAGAUACCGUAGAUGGACCGGCAGCAGGAACUCCUCCCUGGAGGGAGCACUCCAGCAGCCCAGAUCACCCAGACCAGUUUGGGCUCGACACCAGACUCACACCUGCCCAGAUGGACCACGGAGAGAUGGACAGGUUCAUGUUGAGGACCAGCCGGGCCUUGGUCCCUGGGAAGUGUGAUGGAGUCCUAGCUUGCCGCCUAGCACGUGCGCGUAGCGAUAAGCCUGCCAGUGUAGCAGGAGGCUGACUCGCAGGGCCUGGACAUCCCAUUCAUGUCAUAACACGGCCCAAAGACCGGAUGCUGUGUCUGAGAAGAUCACUCUGCCUCGUUUCCUACUCCUUAGGAAAGAUGACAGGUUAUGGAAGAUAAUGAGAGGCCAGUGUCCUACACAGAGUUCUCAGAUGGCCUGUGCUCCAAGUCCUAGCUCCUGAGCCCAGUCUCCAGUCUGAUCCAGUCAUGACUUCUGACGACGUCUUGCCCAGGCUUCGAUCACAGAAUACCACCCACUGGGUGGCACAUAAAAACUAAGCAGUUAUUUCUCACAGUUCAGGAGGCUGGAGGUAGAAGAUGGGCGUGCCAGCGUGGCUCUGGAGGGAGUCCUCUUCUGGGUGGCCCACGGUUGCCUUCUCACUGUGUGGCAGGGCCGGGAGAGGAAGCAGAUUUUCUCGUGAACUCUAUGAGGGCACUGUUUCCACUCACUUGCUCCACACUUGGGACCUCAUCUAAUUCCAAGCAGCUCCCAAAGGCCCUACCUCCCAAGACCCUCACAGCAGGAAGCACGUUUCGACACAUGGUUGGGAGAAGGAAGACACAAACAUCUGUCCAUAACAACAACAAAAAGUGACUGAGAACCUAACAGGUCAGAGCUCAGGAGUCCAGUCACUUGUUUGUGUGUGGAAGGGGAGAGGUGCCGUGACUGCCCAGGUCUGGCCCCCACAAAUGCCAGGGUUAUCUACCCACUCUAGCCCAGUGCAUGGGGAAGCUUCCCCCUGGUUCUUUCCAUCCACCUUGGGAGAGGAAUACACCUCCUUUACCAUCAAAAAAUGCUUUUUUGGUGAUUGAAAAGGCACUUCUGUUUCCUAUCAGUUUUUAUUUCCUAUUAGGGAACGUUCUCAAAUGUGGGAUAAGCCAAAGGUUGUGGGGAUGCAGAUAUGAAGUAAAUGCUCAGUUCUCUCCAUUCCCUCCUCCAAGCUGGCAAGUGGAGUCUGGGAGGCUUCUCGCGUCUCAGCCUCAGGUCCUAGAGGUUCACUCUGUGCUGCGUUGGUUGACGCGCUGUGGGAGAGGAAUGGCCGUCUAUGGGGAGUAGGAAAGAGGAGAAGAAAGUGAUGUCUGUUCCUGAACAGGAAGAGUUUGGGAGUUUGUCUGUAGGACUAUCUGGAGAGGGGCUGGCUCUGAUCUAAUGGCCCACGGUUAUCCACUGCCUGGACACUGGCUCUUUUCUUUUCUGAAGGUUCGUAAUAUCACCAGCUGGGGCCUUCCAGUCUGGCUCACUGUGACUCCAUUACUUCCCGACAGGCUUUUCUUCCUGAUUUGAUCCUGGGUCAAAAACAUAUGGCACAGACCACACUGGCCCUCAGCUACCUGGCUUCAAGUCACCAUCACUAUCUCCUGCCUCCAUAGCUCAUUGUCAAUAAAUAUGUAAACAGACCAUCUCAAUAAACAAUAAACAAUAAACAAACUUGAUUUGGAUUUUCAACUUCAAAAAAUUCAUUUUCAAGAGUAGGACUAGGUCAGCCAUGCGGAAAGCCCCCACUGACACUGACACAAAUAUGGAAAGGAGAAUUAGGGUUGGAGUGAAGCAGUUUUUCUGGAGCCAGAAUAUUCUGGUUGCACACACGUGUGUGGAUGAAGGGCACAGUGUCUGGGAAGAGCCUGAGAAUAUGUUCUGAAGAUUUGUAACCUUGGGUGAUUGAAAGACAAAAAAGUAUCUGCUAGACCCUAAUUUACAGCCAUUUACUGAGCAAUUGGUCAGUGACACAGAAAAGAGUGUCACAGGGUUAGAGGACCCAGAAGAAGCCAGCCUUGCUGAGUCUGUAGACCCCUGCUCGUGCAGUCUCCACCCCUAUCAACCGUCCCUCCGGCUCUCGCUCCACCUCUGGCCCCGAGUGGACAGCAAUGCCGGUUCCACCCACAAGUGUUCAGAAUGGGGAGCUGUCCUCCAGAUUAACCAUGAAAGGGAAUGCAAAGCCCCAAGCUCGGACUACUGAGGUCCCGCACAGACCUGUGAUUCCUGUCUCUAACUACCAGUCCCUCGUCCCUCCUCAUUUUCCAGCUCUCUGGGCCUCAGACAAGGUUGUUCACCUAUAAACCCCAUAGAGCUGAACAGACCAUUUACCUUGAACUUUGAGAAGAGCUUAGUCCCCAGCUCACAACCACCAGAAACAGCUCUGCCUGCAGAUGGCAGGGGUCUCUCUCUACCCGCAGCAGUGUUCCCGUGGGAAGUGAGAGAAGGGCUCUCUCGGCUCUUGUCCAAUUCUUGGAGUCACAGCCACUUUGUCGUAGCCUCUUACAGCUGCUGCAUGUCCCGUACCGAUGAGGUCUGUUGUCCUUGGGCUGCAGCCACCUCAGCCGCCGUCGUUCCUGGAGUUAUCACAAGGAGAUGACGUGUCACUCCCUGUCACAUCAGCUCCGCCGGCUCCACAGUGAUCACAUCUGCCACCAUCCCCUCGGCAGCAGCCACCACCUGGCUCCAGCACGGACUGCGGUUCACCUUAGAGCCUCAUCUCCCUUCACACAACAAAAUAAG